rnacentral:rRNA from 1 species
GAUGAACGCUGGCGGCGUGCCUAACACAUGCAAGUCGAACGGAGUCGUUUUGGAAAUCUCUUCGGAGAUGGAAUUCUCGACUUAGUGGCGGACGGGUGAGUAACGCGUGAGCAAUCUGCCUUUAAGAGGGGGAUAACAGUCGGAAACGGCUGCUAAUACCGCAUAAAGCAUUAAAUUCGCAUGUUUUUGAUGCCAAAGGAGCAAUCCGCUUUUAGAUGAGCUCGCGUCUGAUUAGCUAGUUGGCGGGGUAACGGCCCACCAAGGCGACGAUCAGUAGCCGGACUGAGAGGUUGAACGGCCACAUUGGGACUGAGACACGGCCCAGACUCCCACGGGAGGCAGCAGUGGGGAAUAUUGCGCAAUGGGGGAAACCCUGACGCAGCAACGCCGCGUGAUUGAAGAAGGCCUUCGGGUUGUAAAGAUCUUUAAUCAGGGACGAAACAAAUGACGGUACCUGAAGAAUAAGCGCCGGCUAACUACGUG